rnacentral:rRNA from 1 species
AUUGAACGCUGGCGGCAUGCCUUACACAUGCAAGUCGAACGGCAGCACGGGAGCAAUCCUGGUGGCGAGUGGCGAACGGGUGAGUAAUAUAUCGGAACGUGCCCGGUCGUGGGGAUAACGUAGCGAAAGCUACGCUAAUACCGCAUACGAUCUACGGAUGAAAGCGGGGGAUCGCAAGACCUCGCGCGAUUGGAGCGGCCGAUAUCAGAUUAGGUAGUUGGUGAGGUAAAGGCUCACCAAGCCGACGAUCUGUAGCUGGUCUGAGAGGACGACCAGCCACACUGGGACUGAGACACGGCCCAGACUCCUACGGGAGGCAGCAGUGGGAAUUUGGACAAUGGGCGCGAAGCCUGAUCCAGCAAUGCCGNGUGCAGGAUGAAGGCCUU